rnacentral:rRNA from 1 species
GUGGGAUGACGUCAAAUCAUCAUGCCCCUUAUGACCUGGGCUACACACGUGCUACAAUGGGCGGUACAAAGGGCUGCGAACCCGCGAGGGGGAGCGAAUCCCAAAAAGCCGCUCUCAGUUCGGAUUGCAGGCUGCAACUCGCCUGCAUGAAGCCGGAAUCGCUAGUAAUCGCGGAUCAGCAUGCCGCGGUGAAUACGUUCCCGGGCCUU